CGAGCGGUCAGGCUGCAGCGGCCUCUACGCCUGCGCCUGCCGGGGCCAGAGCCUGCGCCCGCUUCUCCUCCCGCCUUCUGCGCGCCUCCGCGCGCUCGCCCCCGGAGGGGGACCCGGGUGGCGGGCCGGCCCGGGCGGGGCGGGGCAGGUGGGGCCGCCGGGCGGGGCAGGGCGGCCGCGCCCGGCGCUAGGACCCCCGCCGGCGGCGGCCACGCGCUGGGGACUGUAGCCCUUCCCGCCGGGGGUCUGGGGCCUCCGGGCGGGGCCCCAUGGAGGACCUUAGCCUAGACAGCUGCGGAGAGGAGGACGCGGCGCCGGGCACCAAGGGGUGGCCCGCACCCCAGGCGAGGGUGCACUUCCGUGUGACAAGGUUCAUCAUGGAGGCAGGUGUCAAGCUAGGGAUGCAGUCCAUUCCCGUCGCCACUGCCUGUGCCAUUUACCAUAAGUUCUUCUGCGAGAUCAACGUGGACGCCUAUGACCCCUACUUGGUCGCCAUGUCUGCCCUUUACUUAGCUGGCAAAGUGGAAGAACAGCCCCUGCGAACUCGUGACAUCAUCAACGUGUCCAACAGGUACUUCCACCCGGGCAGCGAGCCCUUGGAGCUGGACUCCCGCUUCUGGGUGAUCCGGGACAGCAUUGUGCAGUGCGAGCUCCUUGUGCUGCGGGUACUGCGCUUCCAAGUCUCCUUUCAGCACCCACACAAGGGUCAGCUCCAGGGAGGCAGCUGCCCCAUGCACUUACUUGACUGGAGGCCUGCUCUCAGCUCUCAGCUCUCAGAAGGCAGAACCCCUGCUCUGAACAGGAGGGCUCUCCAACUACGCCUGUUCCAAUGUGUCCCCUUCCCACACCUGGCCCAGGGCAGAGAGGAAGCGAGAGGGCGAGAGAGAUAGAAACACCAAUGAUGAGAGAGAAUCACUGAUUGACUGCUUCCGGCACGCCCCCUAUUGGGGGUCGAACCUGCAACCUGGCCGUAUGCCCUUGACCGGAAUCAAACCUGGGACCCUUCAGUCCACAGGCCGAUGCUCUAUUCACUGAGUCAAACCAGACAAGGCUAGGUUUCCUUUUCAUAUGAUGGAAUACCAGGUUUGACUACUCCUGCUCAGGGGUGACGUGGCAUCCAUGCUAACAGUGCAGCCCAAGCAUGUUUUGGCCGCCAGUGCGGAUGCUCACGACGCAGGUGGAGGUAAGACGAGACCUAGCUGAUGGGGAGCGCAUGGGCGGGGGGGCGUGAUGGGCGGACCAGCCUUGCCACCAGUCCAGCUACUGCUCAACUGCACCUGCAGUUUCCAUUCUGACCCUCUGUCCCUCAGUCCCCAGCUGCCCCCCAGUGGCUCAACCCCAGGCCCCAGUGACAGGCACAUGGAGGAGCCAUGGUUGGACCCUAUCUCCCUGGGAAACGUGAGACAGAUGAAUUCCGAUGUUAAAAGGAUCUCUGCUUUCUCUGUAUUUCCCUCCCUGGCUAGGGUGCAUUCGGGGAAACUGAGGCUUGGCACACUGGGUGCCCACACUGCAAGGAGAGGCUCCCGAGGGAACCAUCUGGGGAGCCCAGGCCCAGCUCUCCGCACCUGCAGAUAGGUGUUCGGCCCACGUGGUGAAGCUGACCUCCUCAGCCUUCCAGACUCACGAGAAAGUGCCACAGGUGGGAUUAGAGCAACUGCCACGAGGGGCCAUGGCUCCUGGGGACUUUGCCUCGGCAUCUGGUUCCCUGAUGUCGCUGUCAGUGGCUGCAGACACAAAUCCAUGCUGUCACGGGUCAGAGUUGUUGAAUGAGAAGACUGGGGUCGGAAGAGCGCUAGGUGGGUUGUGACUGAGAACUUUCCGAGCAGUGUUAUGGGCGCCUCGGCAACAACUACUUGGCAUUUGCCAAAAAAGAAUGGGAGUCCGGUGGGAGGUGCGAGAGGGCUGGGUCCGUAUCGCAGCCACGUCAGCUCCUCUUGGGUUUUGGUGGUACCUCUUCCUCCACUGGUUUCUGUCUGAUUCUUGUCACUCCUCCCCCUAUUCCGGGUCCCCACAUGGGGUUAGAGGCAGCAGGGGGCAGAGCUCUUGAACUUGGAUUGUAGACAGAGAAAGCCCAGCAGCCAGAAUUCAGCACUUGGAAUUGGAAUUGAAACCAAAGGAAAGUGAAAGCAAAAUGCCCCCUUCUACCUCCUGGGAGGGAUCAUCCUCAUCAAUACUUUGGUAUUUUCCUUUUAAAUAAAAAUUCCAUCAAAAGGGUCUAUUUUUUCCUCUAUAGGCAGGGGUCUCAAAGUGCAAAUGUUCCAACGGUAACCGCUUCCGUCUUAACCUCACCCUUCCCCUGACCUUCUGCUGGGAAUCGCGAUGGUGAUACUGCCUGGGAUGGCGCCAGGAGGAGGGGGGAGACAGGGGAGGAGGCUGGGAGCCCGGGGCAGGGCAAGCGACCAAAAAGCGAUUCUUGCAGUCUAGUUCCCUGAACAAAUCAACCUGCCACAAUAAAUAAUGAAAUUUCAAAAGAAGAACAUCUGAUAAGAGCAAUGGAAAGAUCAUGCCGAUAAAUAGUUCCUUAUUCUUUAAAUAUGCACGUAUAGGCCUAUACGCACACGCACACACACAGACUGCAUGUGUCCCGGGGAUGGGGUGCUUGGCGGUUCGCAUACGUUUGCAGGCGGCUCUCUCGGGCGGGCGGGCUGUCUGGUGAUGGGCAUCCUUCCCAACCUUGCAAAGCAGUGCUCGCCUGCUUUCCUUUUGCAUUGAAUCUGUUGCUCCAAUGGCUCUCCAGUGGGUGCAACAAAGUUGCCGAGAAACCAAAACCAACCCCGUGCCCCCACCGCACAGCCCAAUGACAGAAAUCUGGUGGCACUGUAGUGUUCAUUAAAAAAAAGCUUCGAUAGAAAAAAGUGGGGGACACGGCUCUUCUUGCUCUCUAGUUUUU